rnacentral:lncRNA from 1 species
ACAUUUGUAUGCUUGCAGAACUACUAACACAAAAUAAUGAUGUUGACAAUCAUAACUGAAUUGUUUUUCAUAUCUUACUUUGCAGGAUAUCUGGUGUGGAUCAUGGUAAUUUUAUUCCUCCUCAUCGGCGUCGUGAUCUUCAUAUUUGUCUUCAUGUGUCAGAAAUAUAGGAAGGUUAGUUUUCGGGUGAAUGGAAAAUGCGAUGAUCACGAUGAAACGGUACCAUUGGAGAAUGUUCAACCUCUGGAUGCAGAAGCUGCUGGGGCAACUGCCGGAGUUACUGGUGGAAUUGACAACGUGGUGAAAGAAACAGAUGAGAAAACUGCAGUUGGAGAUGUCCCAGCAGCUGUGGACGGGACAGCUGGCAAGGACUUGAAGGAGGAAACGAAGCAGGAAGCACCAACAACUUCCCCAUCAGAGGGUGGAGAUGAUAAGGAAAGCAUUGAUACAAAGAACGGUCCAACUGUGGGAGAAAGUGAUGAGAAAGAUGACAGCAAGACUGCUGAUGAUAAAGAUGAAGAGGAGGAAAAAAAAGAUGGUGCAAAGGAUGAAAAGUCUGACUCUUCCUCCAUUUCCCUCCUUUCCCCCGAUGAGAUCUCCAAAGCCACCAUGGCAAUGGAGUCGAGUCCCACAGAGGGGAGUCAAGAAACUGCUACAAUGAACGAGAAUUCUAACAACAACAACAACAACAACAACAUUGCACGUGCCAGUCGGCAACGUGUAGGAGGUGAACUUGUUAGUAGCCCACUCAAUCCCCUGGGAAUGACGAGAUCACCUGCUGAGAUGUCUGCCCCUGCUUAUGUGACGAUGGAGAAAAAUGCUGUGUGGGAGGAUGGUGCUGCUGCCUUUUCUGCUUUGUAAUCAUUUGACAAAGAUGGAGCCAAGAUUGAAUCAAAUGGGAUUCAUUGUAACAUUGAGGAACACAUUUGCUUUGAAUAACCGAUAUUGUCGACGACACGUCUUAGGAUUAUCCAUUUCUUCUUUUUAUUUAGCACUGGAAUGAUAGAUGUUUGCUCUUUUCAAACGUUUUUGGAUCAUUGUUAGUGAAACUUGCAUUGUGCUUUUUUUUUUUUCAUGUUCAUAGUUUUGCAUUUCUUCACUUUGUAUUUGAAUUUAAAGGUUGCAACAUAUGAGAGUGGGUGGUGGACAGAGAGAGGGGGAGAGAGAAAAACUUGGAAUUAUGUCUUGGGAUUAAAAACCACACCUGCGUAUUACACCAUUCGUAUUGCAUUGGGCUUUGUUUAAUGUCAUACAUUUUGCACUUUAAUGGCCAAACCUGAGUGUAGAAUUCACAGUAAAUGUUUUUCUGAAACGAGGUUUAUUUAUGAGGUUUGCUCUUGAAAUUUAGCAUGGGGCCUGCAAGGCUUGCCUCUGCUUUAGCAGGGGAAAUGGCCUUAAAAUGUGUGAGUGUGUGUGUGUGCUCUUGAAAUUUUGAUUAGCUUUUUUCAAAGCUUCACACUUAUCGGAUUGAAUGCACAUGGACUUCAUUCCACCAGAUCACAGAAGCUAUGCAGUCAGGCUCGCAGGAUGGCCUAGAUGUACGCACACUUCUCUGAGCAGUCUAGCUAGGGUUUCAAUCUCGCCGCAGUGACAAACUCUCAUCCCUGUGUUUCACAGGCAUGGCGAAACACCAUUGUGCACCGUCCCUCUGAUAAACUUGGCGUCCCAUCUGCCAGCAUUAGUGGGUGGACCAGAAUGAUUCCACUGUGUCCUUACUGAAGAGUAGGCAAGCUAUCGCCGGCACAAACAAAUUACAAAUUCGUGCCAUUACCAACGAUGAAGGAGGGGGAGGAGGGGGUGGGCAUCGCAUCAGCGGCAUAGCUGUGUCCUUGGCAAAUGAUGCUGCUUGUAGCCAUGUGCUCCAUACGGAAGAAGAAGAAGAAGAAGGUGGUGAAAGCUGUAUGCUUGCAUGUUUGUUCGUCAUUAUGUUUCAUUUACAUUAAAAAUAGGAAGGAUAAUUUAGUAACACCCUGUAUAAUAUAGGCAAUAAAGAUUACCAGGGUAUUGCUUGUUGAAAAGAAGACAUUUUGAGCCAAUAUUCUGGCUAAAUUCCCCGAAUCGAAAUUCAUUGUGAUGCUCGAUGACGACAAUUGUAAGAAUGGCAUUAGUACACAAGGAAGGUAAGUAAAUUGAUAGAUGAAGUCGAUGUGAUGUGGAUAAAGCACAGGCAUGAGGGUCCAAAUGCCCUCCUGUGUCAAGUUCCUUGCAUCGUGUAAUUUGUGAAUUUUAACUUGAAUUUUAGAACUUAUUUGGAUCACCGCCUAAUGUUCCCAUCUAAACUGACUCAUGAGAUGGGGAGCCCAGCUCAAAUCUCAUCUGCCACACAUUUGUCUAUUUUCUACUAUAUAUUGUCCUUGUAAUUUGGACGUAAAGUACAUUAAUAUCCACAAAUGUCUUUGUCCUGCUUUACAUAUGCUGAUCUGUUCCCAUUUUGUUUCUUGUGUGUUAGUCCUCCUUGUGUAUGCCCACCCCCCACCCCUUCUACCCUUUGGUAGUUUGUGAACUUACUGACCAUUGUUGUUGAGCUCCUCCAUGAGCGUCAAACCUCGUAUGAAAAAUGUGGUCAUCUACAAACUCCUCCAUGAGCCUUAGAUCAUUGUGAAAAAAUAAACGAGAAAAAGACCUUUUGCAGAGCACGAUACUUGCAAAGUCCACCCCUCCCCCAUCUCCAAAGGUUGCCAUGGAUACAUCAAAUUGUCCAUUUCAUUAAGAUUAAAAUUGACAAUCUUAUAUUACUCAAAGCUCAGGUCAAUUGGAUGAAAAUUGAUUAUUUUUCAGAUUGAAAUGGAUGAUUUUAGAAGUUUGACCUUGAGUUAACAUUUGACCUUUUGACCUCAAAUAGUUGCCUUCCAAAUUUAGUGAUGGAUGAUUCUAAUCCUGUUGAACUUUCUUCAAGUUAAUAGGAUGUAAACUGACAAUUUUUCAGUUGACAAUUGAUAAUUUUAGAUGUUUGCCCUUGAGUUGACCUUUGACCUUUUGAUCUAAAAAAAAAGAAAAGAAGUUGGUUUCCCAAUUUAGUAAUGCAAUUGCUGUUUAAUUUCCAGGUCGAUAGGAUGAAAAUCGAUGAUUUUUUCAGAUAAAAAUUGAUGAUUUUAGAAGUUUGACCUUGCGUUGACCUUUUGACCUCAAAUAGUUGAUUUCCCAAUUCAGUGAUGCAAUAUGCGAAUCCUGUUCAAAUAUCAAGUCUGUCAGAUGAAAAAUGACUUUUAGAAAUUUGAUCUUGAGAUGACCUUUGACUUUUGACGUCAAAAUUAAUAGGUUUCUCAGCUGAGGCUACCUCGCCAACUUGGUGAAGUUUCGUGAAGAUAGGUUUUACAUUGUGACAGGUGAAUAACAGACAGACAGACAGACAGAACAACAAUCUACUGACCAAUGCACUUGAAAAAUCUUUGAUUUUGCAAGUAAAGAAACGGCUUUCAUUUCCAUCCGUCUCACCGCGUGCACUCAUCAAUGAAGUUCGAGUUUGUGGAAUGCUCGAACAAACCAUUAAGGUAGAAAUAACAACAUUUAUAAAACGACAACUGCAGUUCUUAUCAAGAAUUCCAAAGCAAACAUCUUAUAUCGGUUCCAAUAGCAUUUAAUCUUUUUCAAUUUCAGUCGGGACAGAAGAGUUAAUGUAAUUAUUUGAUCAACACUUUCUCUACUCCAAUUUAAUUGGCAAAUUAAAAAAAAAAAAAGUGGUCAAGUAAUAAUGGAUCUUUGUCAGGAAUUAAUCAAAUUUUGUGAAUAAAGGCUUAUUAGAUCUGUACAAAAUGUUACUGAGUGUAGUUCUCGUGAGGGAUCCACUUUAAGGGCUGUGGGUGUUGAUAGGUCUCUCGUAUUACAUUAAUGACAACUUAUCCACUGAACAACUGUCAUUGAAAUGUCACUAGUUGUACGAAGGAUAUCAACAAGAUGGCGGCUCAUGGUAAAGUUCCCUCAAAGGAUGGUGUGGGGGAGGGGCAAAAAUUAAUAUCUCAAUUUGUGAUGAAGGUGAUAAAUGUCUUGAGGUUAAUCAGAUUCCAAGCACAUCUUGGUGAUGGUGAACUAUUGCCGAUGAAUGCAGCCCAGCUGCCGCAACCUCUAUUGACUGUCUGCUUCAUCCAAACAUCAGGCCUGUCUGGCAAGUUUGUGAAAGAGAAUUGGAACACAAACAUUCCUUGGACCACCCCACAAGAAGGUGGGAAUAAUUUGGCCUGCUAAAGUACGCUAGUAGUAUUUAUAUAAAGAGGCGAGAACAAUAUGGGCUUAUGCAAGCAGUAUUCAUACUAACCCUUCUAAUUUUGUAACAAACAGAUGGGAGCAGAUGAGUCUCUGGUGACCUUUCAUCCGGUUGGUGAUAGACCUCCUGAGGCCAAAAUAUUCCAGGCCAAAGGCUGUGGCCGCUUUCGCUCACCCCAGACCCGAUGUGUGUCCUUUUUAUUCCUAUGUAGCCAUUUCUCAUCAUGUGCUCGUGCAAGGAGUGAAUCGAUGAGUGUUUUCACAUCUUUGGUGUCGAUCAUCUUCUCUGCCUUGUUUUAUCAUUCGGUGUGAUCUGGUGUCACAUGUAGUGUGCAGUUUUUAGUUGUUGUACUUCCAUUGCAGGAACUCCUCUGCCUGUUUGCCUGGUUGCAAUGCAGUGACGUGUUGGUUGUGAAAUUUGUGGUUUCACUGGUGAAAGUUGGGUGUGGUGUUGUUGAGCACUGAGGUUGCGGCAUAUGGUGAAGUAUAGGGUGUAGUAAACUUUUUAAGUCGUGUACAAGUGUGGUCACCUUGUUUGCUCAACUUACCUGACUGUACCUUGCACAAUGGAUUGUUGCCAUUUGUAUUAUUGUUGUGUAUUUUGUGGGUAUGUGCAAGGUCUCCCCAACACCACACAUACACACACACACACACACACACGAAUAUUUCUAGUUCUUCAAGGUGGCGGUAUUAAGGACAUUUCUGUAUUCAAAACAAAUUUGUUCUAUCAAAUGCUGCAUUUAGCUGCUUGUUUGCAUGAUCUUGCAAUGGUGUGGUGAUCCCAAUUCUCUACCCUCCACAGCUUCCAUUUUCUCUUGUAUCUUGCCCCAUUUCCCUUCCUUUUAUGAAUCCCCUUUUCCAUAAUUAAUAUGGAGACUGGCUCUGACUCCACCUUGUUUGUUAGUAUUUCCAAAGUUUUGAAAUAGACAUUCCUCUUUCCUGCUGUCUGGAUUGCAUGUUUAGAGAUGGUGUGUAAGCAGCCAAUACAACUCUGAAGCAACUUCCUGAAUCCUUCUCAAGAAAUGGCAAUUGUUCCGUGCCCUUCACAAACUUCUGAUAUGAAUGUUUAAUUUAACACACUAACUUCUUAUUUGCUCAUUAAAAAAAUGACAAUCAAGUGUCAAGACGGAUUCCUCAAAUUAUCUCUGGUGCAAACUUC